UACGGAGGGUGCGAGCGUUAAUCGGAAUUACUGGGCGUAAAGCGUGCGCAGGCGGUUUGUUAAGCGAGAUGUGAAAGCCCCGGGCUCAACCUGGGAACCGCAUUUCGAACUGGCAAACUAGAGUCUUGUAGAGGGGGGUAGAAUUCCAGGUGUAGCGGUGAAAUGCGUAGAGAUCUGGAGGAAUACCGGUGGCGAAGGCGGCCCCCUGGACAAAGACUGACGCUCAGGCACGAAAGCGUGGGGAGCAAACCGG
rnacentral:rRNA from 1 species